AUUGAACGCUGGCGGCAGGCUUAACACAUGCAAGUCGAGCGGGGUGAUGGUGCUUGCACUAUCACUUAGCGGCGGACGGGUGAGUAAUGCUUAGGAAUCUGCCUAUUAGUGGGGGACAACAUCUCGAAAGGGAUGCUAAUACCGCAUACGUCCUACGAGAGAAAGCAGGGGAUCACUUGUGACCUUGCGCUAAUAGAUGAGCCUAAGUCGGAUUAGCUAGUUGGUGGGGUAAAGGCCAACCAAGGAGACGAUCUGUAGCGGGUCUGAGAGGAUGAUCCGCCACACUGGGACUGAGACACGGCCCAGACUCCGACGGGAGGCAGCAGUGGGGAAUAUUGGACAGUGGGGGGAACCCUGAUCCAGCCAUGCCGCGUGUGUGAAGAAGGCCUUAUGGUUGUAAAGCACUUUAAGCGAGGAGGAGGCUCUUUUGGUUAAUACCCAAGAUGAGUGGACGUUACUCGCAGAAUAAGCACCGGCUAACUCUGUGCCAGCAGCCGCGGUAA
rnacentral:rRNA from 1 species